AGGUGCUGCAUGGCUGUCGUUCAGCUCGUGUCGUGAGAUGUUGGGUUAAGUCCCGCAACGAGCGCAACCCUUGUCUUUAAUUGCCAUCAUUCAGUUUGGGCACUUUAAAGAGACUGCCGGUGUUAAACCGGAGGAAGUGGGAUGACGUCAAGUCCUCAUGGCCUUUAUGCCCAGGGCUACACACGUGCUACAAUGGGUGGUACAAAGAGAUGCAAUCUCGCAAGAGCAAGCAAACCUCAAAAAAGCCAUCCUCAGUUCGGAUUGGAGUCUGCAACUCGACUCCAUGAAGUCGGAAUCGCUAGUAAUCGCGGAUCAGCACGCCGCGGUGAAUACGUUCCCGGGCCUU
rnacentral:rRNA from 1 species